rnacentral:rRNA from 1 species
AGAGUUUGAUCCUGGCUCAGGAUGAACGCUGGCGGCGUGCCUAACACAUGCAAGUCGAACGAAGCAAUUGAAGGAAGUUUUCGGAUGGAAUUCGAUUGACUGAGUGGCGGACGGGUGAGUAACGCGUGGAUAACCUGCCUCACACUGGGGGAUAACAGUUAGAAAUGACUGCUAAUACCGCAUAAGCGCACAGUACCGCAUGGUACAGUGUGAAAAACUCCGGUGGUGUGAGAUGGAUCCGCGUCUGAUUAGCCAGUUGGCGGGGUAACGGCCCACCAAAGCGACGAUCAGUAGCCGACCUGAGAGGGUGACCGGCCACAUUGGGACUGAGACACGGCCCAAACUCCUACGGGAGGCAGCAGUGGGGAAUAUUGCACAAUGGGCGAAAGCCUGAUGCAGCGACGCCGCGUGAGUGAAGAAGUAUUUCGGUAUGUAAAGCUCUAUCAGCAGGGAAGAAAAUGACGGUACCUGACUAAGAAGCCCCGGCUAACUACGUGCCAGCAGCCGCGGUAAUACGUAGGGGGCAAGCGUUAUCCGGAUUUACUGGGUGUAAAGGGAGCGUAGACGGCGAAGCAAGUCUGAAGUGAAAACCCAGGGCUCAACCCUGGGACUGCUUUGGAAACUGUUUUGCUAGAGUGUCGGAGAGGUAAGUGGAAUUCCUAGUGUAGCGGUGAAAUGCGUAGAUAUUAGGAGGAACACCAGUGGCGAAGGCGGCUUACUGGACGAUAACUGACGUUGAGGCUCGAAAGCGUGGGGAGCAAACAGGAUUAGAUACCCUGGUAGUCCACGCC